GGAUAUUAUAUAACACACAUAUUUAAUAAUUAAUUAACUAAAAGAGAUGGUGAUGUUUCUUUCCAUGAGCUUCUUUAUCCUCUUCUUUGGCUUCUUUCUUCUCAUGAUGCUCAUGAAAUGCAAAUCCACCAGCUCCAACUGCAGCUGCUGCUGCUAUUUCUUCUUCUAUCUUGUGUCUAUGUGCAUGCUCUGGAUCUUUCUUUGCCUCAUGCUUCUCAUACUGAAAUUAAUUAAGCAGAAUUUCAAAUCAAUAAUUUAUAUAUAAUUAUAAUUAGGCUUUCCAAAUUUGACCAUUAGGUAAAAUUGUAUUAUUUUUCUAUAAUUUAAAUGAAAAAGGGUUUUCAUAACCAACCAAAUUUAAUAAUAAUAUAAUAUUAAGUGAAUAUGAUAAAGAAUGAUUCAAAUAAUAAAACACGCUUAGAUUUUCCAGGCACUUAUGUACAGUCUAGAGUUCGGAGAAAUAGCCACAAACCCCAAAAUAAAAUUAGUCUUUUAGCUAAACAGAGUGACAAUUCUAUGGGAAAAAAAUAUUAUAUUCAUUUCCAAUAUUAUGAGAUUGUUUCAAUUAAAAAUAAUUUUUUAUCAUUUUUUUUUCCUCAAGAUUUUUUUACAAAUUUGAUUUUGAUAAAGAAUUCAAAAAUAGAAAGAAUCUAAUUAUUAGAUUGUUAUUAUAGAAAUAAAUCAAUCAGGGAAAUACCAUUAUCAGAUCGUUAAAAAAAGAAGAAUUUUUGUAAAUGAAAUUAAUCAUAAAAACCGAUAUAAAAUUAUACUAGUUAAUUACCAAGGCAUAAGCGCCAGCAGCGGCGGCCCCGAGCCCUCCAAUCUGUUCAAGGUGCUUAUGGUGCUUCUCCUCCUUUUUGUAAUCUGGUGCAUC
rnacentral:lncRNA from 1 species